UGCCCAGCAACUCCUAUCCCUACGUCCACGCGGUACCGGCCGGAAACUAUGAGCAACCUUAGGGAAGAUUGGGUAACCAACCCCGGUGGGAACUUUGGUCGUAGGCUGACAGGGAGGG
rnacentral:ribozyme from 1 species